GGGGUGCUCGAGUGGCGAACGGGUGAGUAACACGUGAGUAACCUGCCCUUGACUUUGGGAUAACUUCAGGAAACUGGGGCUAAUACCGGAUAGGAGCUACUGCUGCAUGGUGGGGGUUGGAAAGUUUCGGCGGUUGGGGAUGGACUCGCGGCUUAUCAGCUUGUUGGUGGGGUAGUGGCUUACCAAGGCUUUGACGGGUAGCCGGCCUGAGAGGGUGACCGGCCACAUUGGGACUGAGAUACGGCCCAG
rnacentral:rRNA from 1 species